rnacentral:rRNA from 1 species
GACGAACGCUGGCGGCGUGCUUAACACAUGCAAGUCGAACGGAAAGGCCCUGCUUUUGUGGGGUGCUCGAUUGGCGAACGGGUGAGUAACACGUGAGUAACCUGCCCUUGACUUUGGGAUAACUUCAGGAAACUGGGGAUAAUACCGGAUAGGAGCUCCUGCUGCGUGGUGGGGGUUGGAGAGAUUCGGCGGUUGGGGAUGGAUUCGCGGCUUAUCAGCUUGUUGGUGGGGUAGUGGCUUACCAAGGCUUUGACGGGUAGCCGGCCUGAGAGGGUGACCGGCCACAUUGGGACUGAGAUACGGACCAGACUCCUACGGGAGGCAGCAGUGGGGAAUAUUGCACAAUGGGCGGAAGCCUGAUGCAGCAACGCCGCGUGCGGGAUGACGGCCUUCGGGUUGUAAACCGCUUUCGCCUGUGACGAAGCGUGAGUGACGGUAAUGGGUAAAGAAGCACCGGCUAACUACGUG